rnacentral:lncRNA from 1 species
CAUCAUUCAACUUCCUUUGGGCGGCCAUCUCAGACGCCAUCUCUCCAAACUUGGUAAGCAUCUCAGUCAACUGAAUCCCCAAACUUGCAGUCUCGGGUUGAGCGGUAGUAGCAGACCUAUCUGACUGUUCCGGUUGUGAACUCAUGUUUACACGACUCCUCUGGGCUUGACUACGGGAUCGCGUUAUGAUGGGGCUUCGACGAGAAGCUAUAUUUAAAUAUUACCUGAGAAUUUUUGAAAGAUUGCCUUUAGAUUUAACCCUCGCUUAGUUAUUCCAAUAAAAAC